rnacentral:misc_RNA from 1 species
UAUCCUACAUCCUCCGUCCUCCCACCGCCAUACCCUGACUGAACCCCACCACCAUACCCAGUUUGAGCACCCACACCAUACCCAGACUCACCGCCCCCAUACCCCGACUGAACACCACCGCCAUACCCAGGCUCUCCAUAGGACGGCUCCUGCUGACGACUAGGCUUCACACCAUACCCGGAUCCAUAGUCUGUCUCCGGCUUCCUCCCAUACCCGGAUCCAAACUCGUCCGUCUCCGUCUUCCUC